rnacentral:rRNA from 1 species
UACGAAGGGAGCUAGCGUUGUUCGGAAUCACUGGGCGUAAAGCGCACGUAGGCGGCUUCUCAAGUCAGGGGUGAAAUCCUGGAGCUCAACCCCGGGAACUGCCUUUGAUACUGGGUAUCUCGAGUCCGAGAGAGGUGAGUGGAAUUCCGAGUGUAGAGGUGAAAUUCGUAGAUAUUCGGAGGAACACCAGUGGCGAAGGCGGCUCACUGGCUCGGUACUGACGCUGAGGUGCGAAAGCGUGGGAGCAA